ensembl:snRNA LOC120094959 U2 spliceosomal RNA
ACAUCAUUCUCGGCCUUUUGGCUAAAAUCAAGCGUAGUACCUGUUCUUAUCAGUUUAAUAUCAGAUAUGUCCUCUAUCUGAGGACAGUAUAUUAAAUGGAUUUUUGGAACUAGGAGUUGGAACAUGAGCUUGCUGGACCUCCCCUCCAUGCAUUGACUUGGUAUUGCAGUUCCUCCAGGAAUGGUGCACUCACU